rnacentral:misc_RNA from 1 species
GAAAUGGGAUAAGUAAUGUGAAUUGCAGAAUUCAGUGAAUCAUCGAAUCUUUGAACGCACCUUGCGCUCCUUGGUAUUCCUUGGAGCAUGCCUGUUUGAGUAUCAUGAAAUCUUCAAAGUAAAUCUUUUGUUAACUCAAUUGGUUUCUACUUUGGUAUUGGAGGUCUUUGCAGCUUCACACCUGCUCCUCUUUGUUCAUUAGCUGGAUCUCAGUGUUAUGCUUGGUUCCACUCGGCGUGAUAAGUUAUCUAUCGCUGAGGACACUGUAAAAGGUGGCCAAGGUAAAUGCAGAUGAACCGCUUCUAAUAGUCCAUUGACUUGGACAAUACUUUUAUGAUCUGAUCUCAAAUCAGGUAGGACUACCCGCUGAACUUAAGC